rnacentral:rRNA from 1 species
UACGGAGGGUGCAAGCGUUAAUCGGAAUUACUGGGCGUAAAGCGCACGCAGGUGGCUGAGUCAGUCGAUUGUGAAAGCCCUGGGCUUAACCUGGGAAUUGCAGUCGAUACUACUCGGCUCGAGUAUGGGAGAGGGCAGUGGAAUUCCCGGUGUAGCGGUGAAAUGUGUUGAUAUCGGAAGGAACGCCGGUGGCGAAAGCGACACACUGGGUCUCAACUGACGCUGAGGCACGAAAGCCAGGGGAGCGAACGGG